GCCAAAGUAGCUCAGUUGGUAGAGCAACCCCUUCGUAAGGGGUAGGUCGUGAGUUCGAUUCUCACCUUUGGCUCCA
rnacentral:tRNA from 1 species